AACUGGGAUUAGAUACCCCACUAUUCUUGAAGAUAAAUAAAUUUAUACCAGGGCACUACGAAUGAUUUUUAGAUUUAAAACCCAAAGAGCUUGGCGGUGUUUUAGACUAUUUAGGGGAACUUGUUUCAUAAUCGAUAAUCCACGAUAGACCUAACCUUCUUUUGUAACCAGUAUGUAUACCGUUGUCGUCAGGUAACUUUUUAAAAUAAAAAAGUUAGCGAAAAAGCCAUAAGCUUAUACGUCAAAUCAAGGUACAGCCUAUAAAGGGGGAGAGAAUGAGUUACAAUUAAAAUUCAUAAUAACGGAAUAGAAAAAGAAAAUUUCUCUGAAGGCGGACUUAAAAGUAAAAAAAUUAUUAUAGAAAUUUUUUGAAUUGAGCUCUGAAACGUGCACACACCGCCCGUCA
rnacentral:rRNA from 1 species